rnacentral:tRNA from 1 species
GCUGGGAUUGUGGUUUAGAGGUAGAGCGCUCGCCUAGCAUGCGUGAGGCACUGGGUUUGAUCCUCAGCACCAGCA